GCCAUCCAAAACAUCCAAUCACAAAGCAGCCAUCCAAAACAUCCAAUCACAAAGCAGCCAUCCAAAACAUCCAAUCACAAAGACCUUCUAGACAAGAAAGCUCAGCUGAAGGAACUCGGCCUUCAAUAACAGCCAGCAAGAUCAGCCAACAAGACUACCAGCAAGAGUCUACAGAUGUGAACUCGCCUACUCCCGGAAACAGCCAUAAGCAGAGACCACGGGACUCCCAGAGUACAGCAGUAGGUAUGGGAGACCCCAUGGGAAUGUGUCAUUGCGCAAACCAUCUUCUUCCAGGCCAGUGCCGCUGUACUAAAAAUCAAAGCCUUCCUCCUUCCAGUGAAGACACUAACAGAUCUCAAUUCUGUUUCCUAAUGGAGAGUGUUCCAGUGCAGCAGCUUCCAGGGAAGAGCACACCACUGUCCGUACUUUUGCCUUUGAGACAGAGUCUCAUAUAUAUACCCCAAACUGGCUUCACAUUUUUGCUGCUCCUCUUGGCCUAGCCUCCCAACUGCUCAAUUACAGGAAAGAAGAAAAGACAACUAUCAGACAGUGAGAAUGGACGAAACACAAACAACAGUACCACAGUGGUGGAAGAGGAAAGCAAGCUCUACAAGAAUAAGGACCCAUCUGUCACUACACCCCCACAGCGUCUACAUCAAUGCCUGGCAGCCCGAGUAACAACGUUGACUGAAUGGAAAAGCUGUCACUAUCUACAGUGCACAGCCAUGAAGCUCAAGUCUGGGAACGCAAGAGUCUCCUGUGGCUUUCACCCCCUUUUACACAUGCUGGCUGGGGAACUGUUCCGAUGGAAGAAGGAUCAAGUAGUCAUUUCUGCAGGAUGCGCAAUCCUGGGUUGCAUGACUCAUUUGUUAUUUCAAAGUAUGCUGACCUUGGCUUCCUUGGCAUUCUGCCAGCCCGUUCCAACACAGCUUGUUACAGCAGAUGCGAAUUAGUGCUGCCACCAUCCAUCACUGAAACAGUCGCUCACAGUCCUUGAUCUGGGCCCUGUCCUGGAAUCUCCUGCACAGUAAGUGAGAAGGGGGUUCCAAAUGGCUGCAGUCAGGCACAUAACUAAGGGAGACUCGA